GUGGGGAAUCUUGCGCAAUGGGCGAAAGCCUGACGCAGCCAUGCCGCGUGGAUGAUGAAGGUCUUAGGAUUGUAAAAUCCUUUCACCGGUGAAGAUAAUGACUGUAGCCGGAGAAGAAGCCCCGGCUAACUUCGUGCCAGCAGCCGCGGUAAUACGAAGGGGGCUAGCGUUGCUCGGAAUUACUGGGCGUAAAGGGAGCGUAGGCGGACAUUUAAGUCAGGGGUGAAAUCCCGAGGCUCAACCUCGGAACUGCCUUUGAUACUGGGUGUCUUGAGUGUGAGAGAGGUGAGUGGAACUCCGAGUGUAGAGGUGAAAUUCGUAGAUAUUCGGAAGAACACCAGUGGCGAAGGCGACUCACUGGCUCAUUACUGACGCUGAGGCUCGAAAGCGUGGGGAGCAAACAGGAUUAGAAACCCGUGUAGUCC
rnacentral:rRNA from 1 species